rnacentral:rRNA from 1 species
GACGAACGCUGGCGGCGUGCUUAACACAUGCAAGUCGAACGGAAAGGCCCUGCUUUUGUGGGGUGCUCGAGUGGCGAACGGGUGAGUAACACGUGAGUAACCUGCCCUUGACUUUGGGAUAACUUCAGGAAACUGGGGCUAAUACCGGAUAGGAGCUCCUGCUGCAUGGUGGGGGUUGGAAAGUUUCGGCGGUUGGGGAUGGACUCGCGGCUUAUCAGCUUGUUGGUGGGGUAGUGGCAUACCAAGGCUUUGACGGGUAGCCGGCCUGAGAGGGUGACCGGACACAUUGGGACUGAGAUACGGCCCAGACUCCUACGGGAGGCAGCAGUGGGGAAUAUUGCACAAUGGGCGGAAGCCUGAUGCAGCAACGCCGCGUGGGGGAUGACGGCCUUCGGGUUGUAAACCGCUUUCGCCUGUGACGAAGCGUGAGUGACGGUAAUGGGUAAAGAAGCACCGGCUAACUACGUG